GAAAUACGAUAAGUAGUGUGAAUUGCAGAAUUCAGUGAAUCAUCGAAUCUUUGAACGCACAUUGCGCCCCUUGGUAUUCCAUGGGGCAUGCCUGUUCGAGCGUCAUUUGUACCCUCAAGCUCUGCUGGGUGUUGGGUGUUUGUCCCCGUCUCCGCGCGUGGACUCGCCCCAAAGUGAUUGGCAGCCGGCGUACUGGUCCCGGAGCGCAGCACAUGUCGCGCAAACGAGUGCCUUGGUACGGCGGCGUCCAUAAGCCCCUCUCUCACGCUCUUGACCUCGGAUCAGGUAGGGAUAUCCGCUGAACUUAAGC
rnacentral:misc_RNA from 1 species